GGCAACUCCAGUUUUAGAAAAGGGAAGAAAACCCCAGCAGCCACGGGGAUGGAAAUCACAUUGUACGCCAUGGCAAAGAUGUAAUUCCACCUAAUCCGCGCAAAUGUCUUUCUUGAGAGGUCUAUGGCAAUGAUGACAUCCUCCAAGUUGCUCCUCAUCAACACGUAUUCUGCAGCUUCUAUUGCAAUAUCAGUUCCUGCUCCAAUUGCCAUACCAACAUCAGCAGCAGCUAAUGCAGGUGAGUCAUUGAUUCCAUCACCUACCAUAGCAACUAUACUGCCUCCUUUUUGAAAUGAGCGGACGACCUCAGCUUUCCCUGCUGGCAACACCUCUGCUCUAACGUCCUGAAUACCGACCUCCUUAGCAACUGCACGAGCUGUUCUCCAAUUAUCACCAGUAACCAUGAUUGGUUUGACACCCAUUUUUAUAAGGCCCUCUACAACAACAGCCGCUUCUCUCUUUAGUGGGUCUGCUAUCCCCAGAGCUCCAAUUACAAUAUUAUCAUGAGCAACAAGUAUGCCAGUCCUUGCACUUUC
rnacentral:misc_RNA from 1 species